rnacentral:rRNA from 1 species
UACGUAGGGUGCAAGCGUUAAUCGGAAUUACUGGGCGUAAAGCGUGCGUAGGCGGUUAUUCAAGUCAGAGGUGAAAGCCCGGGGCUCAACCCCGGAACUGCCUUUGAAACUAGAUAGCUAGAAUCUUGGAGAGGUCAGUGGAAUUCCGAGUGUAGAGGUGAAAUUCGUAGAUAUUCGGAAGAACACCAGUGGCGAAGGCGACUGACUGGACAAGUAUUGACGCUGAGGCACGAAAGCGUGGGGAGCAAACAGGG